ACCCUUGUGGAUCCCUUCCAACUUUACGAUUCAGUGAUUCCAAGAAUCAUAGAAACAUAAAGUUGGUAGGGUCCCCCAAAGGU